AUUCAAAGAGUUGUUGAAUUCUUUGUCAUGAGCUCCUAUUGUAGUUAAUUUACUUCUCAUCCAUCUUGCCGGGGAAGAGGUAGGUAAGGUCUUUAUUGAGGAAACAUGCACAGUGGGAGGGAAAUUUAUAACUCCUUCCACUCUUCCAAGCAGAGCCACAUCCCUGGGUAAUGAGCACAGGAAGCAAACCCGGUGGCUGUCGUGGUUGUGCUCAGUAGUAACAGCAGAGAAUUCUCUUGCAGGUGCUGUGUUUGCUCCAUUUCUGCCCAGGAGCUCUUCAUGAAUUGCUUCGUGAUUGCUGUCACCGGGGUACUCAGGCUCUCAGGAGAGGGUCAACUCCAAAGUUCUGCAGGGCACUGUACGUGGCACGUGACAGAGCAAGCCAAAAACAAAUGUCCAACGUGCAAGUUGUGAUACUUCAAGUCAAAACAUGCCCCUGUGCUGGAUUUCUAGAUCUUGGAAAGCAAGAAUAAGGCCAUCCAUACCAAACCCAUCAAACAGUGGAGCUGGCAGCUGCUGGAGGUGAAGAAAAAGUUUCUCAGGACCGGGUAUGUGUUAAUUUUCUGGGCUGUGGGCUGAUCUGGGAAGAAACCAUCCUUGGUUUUGU
rnacentral:lncRNA from 1 species